rnacentral:rRNA from 1 species
GACGAACGCUGGCGGCGUGCUUAACACAUGCAAGUCGAACGGAAAGGCCCUGCUUUUGUGGGGUGCUCGAUUGGCGAACGGGUGAGUAACACGUGAGUAACCUGCCCUUGACUUUGGGAUAACUUCAGGAAACUGGGGCUAAUACCGGAUAGGAGCUCCUGCUGCAUGGUGGGGGUUGGAAAGUUUCGGCGGUUGGGGAUGGACUCGCGGCUUAUCGGCUUGUUGGUGGGGUAGUGGCUUACCAAGGCUUUGACGGGUAGCCGGCCUGGGAGGGUGGCCGGCCACCAUGGGACUGAGAUACGGACCAGAAGCCAACGGGAGGCAGCGGUGGGGAGUAUGGCACAGUGGGCGGGAGCGUGAUAUAGCGGUGCCGCGUGCGGGAUGACGGCCUUCGGGUUAUAAACCGCUUUGGCCUGUGACGAAGCGUGAGUGACGGUAAUGGGUAAAGAAGCACCGGCUAACUACGUG